rfam:Neisseria elongata subsp. glycolytica ATCC 29315, complete genome.
UUUUCCCUGCGGUGUCCGUGAAGGCAUACAUUCCUUUGAACCAAUACGUUCGCUUAAGGUUGUCGGGAGUGUAGUGGGCGCGAGCGUUCCUUUAGGAACGCACCCGAAACUGCCCGAGGCAGCCGCCUUGUUUGACAAGGUUCAAGCGGAUUGAGCCGAAACGCCACCGGCGGGGAAACC